rnacentral:rRNA from 1 species
UACGGAGGGUGCGAGCGUUGUCCGGAAUUAUUGGGUUUAAAGGGUGCGUAGGCGGUCUUUUAAGUCAGAGCUGAAAUCCCACGGCUUAACCGUGGAACUGGCUUUGAUACUGGAAGACUUGAGUAUAGUAGAGGUAGGCGGAAUUGAAGGUGUAGCGGUGAAAUGCAUAGAUAUCUUCAAGAACACCAAUUGCGUAGGCA